rnacentral:rRNA from 1 species
ACUCCUACGGGAGGCAGCAGUGAGGAAUAUUGGUCAAUGGGCGGAAGCCUGAACCAGCCAUGCCGCGUGCAGGAUGACGGCCCUACGGGUUGUAAACUGCUUUUCCCCGGGAAGAAUAAGCCCCUCGUGAGGGGUGAUGCCGGUACCGGGGGAAUAAGGAUCGGCUAACUCCGUGCCAGCAGCCGCGGUAAUACGGAGGAUCCGAGCGUUAUCCGGAUUUACUGGGUUUAAAGGGUGCGUAGGCGGGCGCCUAAGUCAGCGGUGAAAUGCAGCGGCUCAACCGUUGAACUGCCGUUGAAACUGGGCGCCUUGGAUGCGGUCGAGGCCGGCGGAAUGCGUGGUGUAGCGGUGAAAUGCUUAGAUAUCACGCAGAACGCCAAUUGCGAAGGCAGCUGGCCGGGCCGCAAUCGACGCUGAGGCACGAAAGCGUGGGGAUCAAACAGGAUUAGAUACCCUGGUAGUC